ACUCCUACGGGAGGCAGCAGUGGGAAUCCUUAGACAAUGGGGAAAGCCCAUCGAUCUAGCCAUGCCGCGUGAGCGAUGAAGGCCUUAGGGUUGUAAAAGCUCUUUCAGCUGGGAAGAUAAUGACGGUACCAGCAGAAGAAGCCCCGGCUAACUCGUGCCAGCAGCCGCGGUAAUACGGAGGGGCUAGCGUUGUUCGGAAUUACUGGGCGUAAAGCGCACGUAGGCGGAUUGGUAAGUUGGGGGUGAAAUCCCGGGGCUCAACCCCGGAACU
rnacentral:rRNA from 1 species